CCCCCACCAGCAGCAUUCUGAAAAGCAUCUUUAGAACUACCAUCGACAUUCAGUUUAAACUCACCUAUCGAUGGUUUAUGCCAAUGUAUUAGUUUUGGAGCAAUCUGUAAUCUCUGUUGGAACUGUAAUCCCCACAUCUGUGCUAUCUGAGAGUCUCCUUUCCAUUGCCAUCGUUGGAAUUGCCCCCCGCAGCAUAACUGAUGAAUAAGUUUCAGGGUAUGCCAAAUCACUCGGUUUGAAUACAUGCCCAUGUUCCUAUGCUUAGCAUCAUUCCGUUCAACCCAUAAGAACCAGAAAAUAAAUAAAGGCAAGACUGUGCGUAUAUGGCCAGGCUUUACAUAAUCACCAGAGUUUGUCCAUGCCAAGAUUAUCUGAAUCACAUUUUGCGGAUUAAUAACAUAGAUUUGAAAUAAUUUUUCAAAAUAAUUCCAAACCUGUUUAGCCACUAUGUUGUCCCACAGGACAUGAAGUAGAGUUUCCUCUGAAGUACAGCAUUGGCAUUUAGAUGCAAGUUGGAACCCUUUAUUUUUCAAUCUCAUCUCCACUGGAAUCCAAUUGUUAAUUACCCUCCAAAGAAAAAAGGAUGUUGUUAAUGGGAUGCUCUUAUGCCAAAUAAUAUUAUAAACAGAGUUCACAGAUUUUCGUUGGCGAAUCAACUCCCAUGCACUUUUAGUUGAAAAUUGCCCAUCUGAGGUAGGAACCCAAUAUGCAACAUCUGCCUUAGAUGUAUCAAUCGGUAUUUUCAGAAUCUCCCCAAUAUGUUCAUCUGGCAACACCAUUUUAAGUUUGUCUACAUCCCAUUUACCCCUGUCAAAAAAAUAGCAAACUUUGGUCAUGGAUGCAUUAAAUGAAGGAAAUCGAGUUACCAGAGGUUCGUUCCCCAUCCAGCAGUCAUGCCAAAAAAAUAACUGUCCUUUGCCAAUCCGCCAUCUCAUGUUCUGAUCAGUUAUCUCACGACUAGCUAUCGUACGUUUCCAAGUCAUCGAAUCAUGAAGUUUCGGUUGGACACGCCCUGGAAUCUGACCACCACAAUAUUUUUGUCUCAUAAAUUCUGUCCACAAAUUAUUACAAGUCUGAAAACGCCACCACAGUUUCAAACCGAAAGCCUCAAAAACAUCUGUUAUAUUUCUAAUAUUUAAACCACCCUCAGAUGAUGGGAAAAUGACUUGCUGCCAAGAGGUCCAAUGCAUCCUCUUAUUACCUGCCGAAUCUCCCCACAAAAAAUUAUUAAACAAUCUCUCAAUUUUCUCAACAACACAAGCAGGAGGUUUAAGAACUUGGAGCAAAUAAAUGGGUAAAGAAGAUAACACACUUCGCAAUAAAGUGAUACGCCCACCUGGGGACAGAAUUUUGUUCUCCCAUCCUGAUACACGCUCCCUAAUUUUAUUAAUCAAAUCAUCAAAUAAAACUACCUUCUUAGGCCCUUUAUAGAGCGGAGCUCCCAAAUAAGUGAUAGGAAGACCACGAUGCAUAAAGCCUGUAGUUUGGGCUAUGAUUUGGCACCUAGAAAGAGCCAAAUUCCUAUGAGUGAUGAAACAGCUCUUUUGGUGAUUAACACGUUGUCCAGAAAUUGCCUCAUAUUCCUGUAAAAAGGACAGUACUUUCUGCAAAGAUGACUUAGCUCCAUUAGAAAAAAUAAUUACAUCAUCCGCAAAUGCAAGGUGGCUCACCAGCAUUGAACAGUUUGACAAGUAGUGAAUUGAAGGAUAUCUAACAUAAAUAUCAUUUAAACCUCUGGAUAAGUACUCAGCUGCCAAGACAAAUAACUGAGGAGAGAUAGAAUCACCUUGACGCAACCCUCUUUCGGAUUUAAAGUAUCCUGCUGCCUUACCAUUGAUCAACACCAAAAACCAACAAUUGGCAAUACACCUUUUGAUCAUUCCAAUCCACUGUGAGCAAAAACCGAAUUGCUGCAGCAUUUUGUACAAAAAAUUCCAUUCUAUACGGUCAUAUGCUUUCAUCAUGUCCAAUUUAAUUGCAAUAUUACCCCCUCUCGCCCUUUGAUCAAUUCGUCCAAUCAAUUCUUGAGCAAGCAGAAUAUUAUCACUAAUCAAACGCCCUCCCACAAAUCCACUUUGAUUUUCUGAAAUUAUAUAAGGCAAAAGCUUACCCAACCGAGACGCCAUAACUUUUGUCACAAUUUUAUUCAAGACCGUGCAAAGACUAAUUGGCCUAAAAUCACUCCAUUUUGAUGCAUUGGCAGUUUUGGGCAGCAACACAAGGGUGGUUGAAGUCACUCCCCUGGGCAUUUCCGCUCCAUGAAAAAAAUCUACAACCGCUGCAUGAAGAUCUGCUGCUAUAAUACUCCAACACUGUUGAUAAAAAUAAGAGGAAAAACCAUCCGGGCCAGCCACAUUAUCCUUAUCAAUGUCAAAGACAGCUUCUUUAAUUUCUUGCAAUGUUGGCACUGCACAUAAAAUUCCAUUAUCAGAUUCAGAGACAAUAGAAGGAAUAAUGGAAGCAUUGAACCUGGUCAUGUCACAUUGUUCUGCCUGCAUGAGAGAGGAGAAAAAAGCUACGGCCGAAUCUUGUAUUUUUUGCGGUUCCUCCAACCACUCACCCUCUGGAUUUUCUAUUUUGAAAAUGUGGCUUUUAACUCUCUUUUUUUGGACUCUCAUGUGGAAGAAUCUGGUAUUUCUUUCCCCUUCUACAAUCCACUUUAUACCCGAUUUUUGUUGCCAAAAAGUUUCUUCUAUACUGAGCAGUUGAUUAAGUUUUGCAUAUGACUUAUUAAAGGCCAUUCGAUUAGUCAUAGAUUUCUCCUGCUGAAACAUAAUCUCACUGACUUCUGCUUGUUUUUCUGCUUCCUUAAGAUUGCUGAAGAUGUCACCAAAUACUACCUUAUUCCACCAUUUUAAAUGUUGUUUCAGCCUUAGUUGUUUCCUCCAAAAAGCAACAAAUCCUUUCCCCGGAAUCGGUUGCUGCCAGUUUGCUUCCACACUUUGCUUAAACCCAUGGUGAUGAAUCCAAGCAUGUAAGAAACGGAAUGAUGAUGGUGACUUCUCAAUUAAUCUCGAACAUGAGAUUAGUAGUGGGCAGUGAUCCGAGCCAUCCCUGUUCAAGUGCUGAACCCGAGUGAUCGGCAAGCAGUUUAACCAUUGAUGAUUAUAAACCACUCUAUCUAACCUUUGAAACAUGUGGUUGUUGGUCCAUGUGUAUGGAUUACCUUCAAACCCACCAUCAACUAAACCACAAUCCAACAACGCUGUUGCAAAAUCUUCCAUGGAACCGCCAUGUGGGACAGCACCGUAUAAUCUCUCAUCUUUCUUCAGUAUGGCGUUAAAGUCUCCCCCUACUAGCCACGGGCCUUGGAUAUCUACAGACAAAGUUCUUAAACAAUCCCAGAGUGACAUUCUUUCAGACCUUGUGCAUUUAGCAUAAACAAAAGUAGCCAAAAUGGGAAAUUCUAGCCACGGGAAUGAUAAACUGACAUGCAGACAUUGAUUAUGAUUCAACAACACUUCACAAACAAUAUCAUACGAAUGAAAGAGCCAUAUUUUUUGAGAGCAGUUAGAUAUCACCUUCUCAUAUCCCAAUCUUCUCCUAAAAAACUCUGCUUUGCUAACAUCCACCAUAGGUUCCAGAAUAGCAAGCAAUUUUAUUUUGUGUAUGAGCUGUAAUUUUUUAAGUCUUCUUUGUAUUUCCUUACCCGCGAUACCUCUCACAUUCCAUACAAGUGCGCUGAUCAUGAUCUGGUUCUGGCUGCAAAACUUACAGAGAUGGAAUCAGCAUCAGAGAUCCCAUCAUUCUCCCCCAUAUCCACUGCUUCCUCCGAGGCGAGACUGAUUAUUUUUCCAAGUGAAGUUACCGGAUCUGAGUGUCUCCUUAGUCGCACCAGCGGAUGAACUUCUAACUCUGCAGAGGGAGUUCCUGAUACAGAAGGAACACUGUGCAUUUCUUUAUUAAAAAAACACUUACCCGAUGCUGACUCUAAAUUGGGCGGGUUAUCAUCAUUUUCUUCUAUCUUUUCAUGUGAACAGGCUAUUGUAGAUGCAACCCGAUUAUUCCCAGCUAAUUGUCGCGACUGACUUUCACCUUGGGCAUUAAUUGGGCUGUACUCCCCACUGCCUUCUAGCAUAGCCACUGAUAUAUUCUGACCCCCCGACCCACUCAAUGACAUCUGCCGUCCCUCCCCAUGACUGAAAGUUGUUACCUCCCGAAAAUAAUUUUUCACUUUCUCACCUGUACGUGCUUGCAAAAAUUCCUGCACCGCUUUCCCAUCACCCUCUGCGGACACUGUUUGGUCCAGAACCCUCACACCCGUGACUUUACGUUUUUGGUCCUGCUGGUCUUGCAUAUAGCGUUCUGCUACGGAUGCUGUCGCCAUAGGCAAAGGCACCCGGUCACAGGCCCUUUCUGGGUAAAACGCAUCAUCUCCAUGCGGACUGGGUUCUGCCAUACCACCAGUCUGCUUUUGUUGAUUUUUGUCCUGUUUCUUUAUGUUCGUCGACCCAUUCUCAGGCAUCUGCCGUCCUUCACCCUGCCAGUAAGCUUUUUCCUGUAUUGGAAGGGCAGUAAGAGAAUUUUUUAAUUGCUGACCUGUGUGUACAUGUUCGGAUUCCUGUCGCAUCAUCCCAUCAUCAUCUGCAGUCGCAGGUAAUUCUUUAUCCCUCAAUCCCGUGGCUUUUUCUAUUUGCUCACCAUGCACGUAGAAUGAAGGACGUGAAACGGAGCAUUCUACUGCUGGAGCGAAAUGGCCUUCACUCCCUAUCAACACUGUAUCAUCCACUGCCCGAUCAAAGGGGUUUUUCUGGAUUAUUUUCUUCUUUUUUUUUCGAAUUAAUCUCUUGCCCAGACAUUCCUCUUCCGUUUGCUCUAGAUUGCCAGUAGCUGAUACACAUUCAACGGGUUCCUCCGCAUCGCCUACAUGCCCAAUAACAUGCAUCAACCUCCCGACGAUUGGCUGCAGUGAUUUAGCAGGCUCGGCAUCGCUCGUUACCGACGCCAAUGUUCUCUCCCCAGGCUUUCGUCCCAAUUUCUGUUGACCCACAGCUGAUGUCCCCUCAGACUUCUUGCUAUCAUCUGCUCGUGUAUUUAGGGAUUCAGGAGCUACAUGCUCUACAAACCUCAUCUCUUUUUCUCCUACAACCGUUCCCGAUACACUCUUCUCCCCAUGCACAUAGCCAGCUUGUUGUGUAACAUUCUCCUGUUGUUUUUUACUAACAUGUGGGUCUUCGUUUCUAGUCUUCUGAUCACCUUUCGUUUCAUUCUUCUUCAUGUCCUCACCUUCUUGCGUUUGUCCAUCCCCACUCAUUUCAUUUGUAAUUUUUGUACCUCCCAUAGGAUUACUGUUGACUAACUCUGCUUGGCCCUGUUUUUCUGUUCGGGUCUGAGCCACGUCUCCAUCUCCCGAGAUUGUUUGAAACCUGUUGAAAACUGGAACGCUAGCAUGCUCAGGGUCCUGAUCUGACCCUAGUUCCCUACCGUGCCGAUUCUUUGCACCGCUGAUGCCAACGUUGCCCACUGCUUGCCAACGUCGGAUCUGUUUAGUUGGUUCCUCAGUGCACAAAUUUUUUUCUUUUUCCAGAUCUCCUGCAUCCCCUUCCACCUUCUUCCCUCCUUCAGUCUGUGUUGAGGGCACUACUGACAUAUUUUCUAUGCCUCUGUUUUGUGGUUUGCCAGAUUUUGGUUUAUUCCCCAGCACAAUGCAUUCAGCUUCUUUGUGCCCUACGUGGCAACAGUGAUCGCAAUAAUCUGGCAUCCUUGCAAACUCCACUUUCUGAGAAUAACCACCCGUGACGGCGCCCGUUUCUCUAUUCCGAAUCACUAUCCAAACUUCCUCUACAGGCGGCUGUCGACAAUCAAACUCCACACAAACCCGUGCUACGCUCGGACGAGAUCCGUUCGCCGUUGCCUCGUCCACAUAAAGUGGUUGUCGUACCGUUUUAGCUAUCAGCAUCAAAGCCGAUUUUUCAUACAGAUGAGCCUUGAGAUUAGGAAAAGAGAUCCAAAUCGGAACCAAAGCUGAUUCUUUUUCCGCUUCAAAAUUUGGGUUCCAUUUGAAAACUCUCAUUUUCUGAUUCAAAAUAAACCACUGCUGCUUGACCCAGAGGCGAUUAAAAUCUUGUUCAUUGGACAAGUGUAUCAACACAUGCUUAUAGUCCAUCCACCGGAUCUCAUAUGCCCCCGAUAAGCCUAUUCCCUUAAACGCUUGUCGUAUGUCCUGCAAUCUGGGCAUGCGAGUGAAUUUUCCGACAAGGGAGUGGACGAAAGGGCGAGCCAAAAUCUGGAUCUCAUCUUCAUAAAACAUGGCGGCUGGCCUAUCCUUGUAUGUGCUUGGGUUCCUCGUGGGUGGGAUUACUGGAGGCUUUUCUCCUGUUGCUAUUGACAGGAACGAUUUUUUUAUUGCUCGAGGGGAUAUAGGUUGAUGGUUUUCAUCAGGUAGGGCUUGUGGGAUGCCAUGUUUGACUGGCGGCUGUAAAUUUCCUUCUCGUAUGGCUUGUGACGGCUGAAGGUUGUUUCGUGGCAGACGGUUGUGGUCUAUCCCGAUCGGCAUGGAAGGUUGUGUGGUGGCCGGUUGGAAGGUGCUGGCAAGGUCCGGCGGCCUACCGGCGGCCAUCCCUUGAGAUUGUGGGAGGGGCGAAAAUUGAGAAAAGUUGAGAGCGUUUUCCACUUUUUUUUUUUUAUAGCGGGUUUAGGGUUUAGGGUUUAGGGUUUAGGGUUUUUUUUUUUUUUUUUAUGCUGGAAGUUCCCGCAGGGCCCAGCUACCCUGUGAAGAUUUUAUUAAUUAUCGAAAAAUUGAAGAACAGUAGGGAGGGGGAUGUAAACCGAACCUCCAGAAUUACAUGAGAUUGAAAAGAGUUAAUGAAAGCAUCUAGUGAGGAAAAUGUAAUUUUAUGUGCAUAGUUAUGAUUGCAAACAUAAAAUUGAAUCAUUUUCCUAUUACAAGAAUUUAUAUAAUCCCUAAAAGAUAACAGAUAAAAAUAAAUUAGGAGUACCACUCCUUUACAUUUAUUUAAAUCGUACAUAUGGUAAAUUUAAUUUAUCUAACCUAAGAAUUCCUCUAAACUUACCCUCGACUUCUGUAAAUACUUGCAGGUUGUGAUGUUUAUGUCCCUGAUUAGAGAGAUAGUCAGCAGCAUGAUUCCCUUCUCUGUAUAUGUGUGAUAACCGAAAAGUGAGCCCAUUCAAACAUUUGCGGAUGGAGGCCAAUAAAUAACGAGUUUGAUAUGAACCUUGAUGUCCCUCAUGUAUCAUUUGGACAACUAUUUUCGCAUCCAUUUCUAUCCAAAUACGAGAUACAUUAUACUCAACACUUAAUACCAGACCUCGAUGUAAAGCCAUUAACUCUGCCUGCAACGAGUUAGCCGGUCCAAAAUUUUCAGAGAAACCGAAAAUUAAGUUACCUGUAUGGUCUCGAAGAAGUCCCCCGCCAGCAGCAUUCUGGAAAGCAUCCUUAGAACUACCAUCGACAUUCAACUUAAAUUCACCUAUCGACGGUUUUUGCCAAGAUAUUAAUCUUGGAGUAAUCUGUAAUCCUUGUUGGAAAUGUAAUCCCCACAACCGUGCUAUCUGAAAAUCUCCUUUCCAUUGCCAACGUUGGAAUUGCCGCCCACAAAAUAAUUGAUGGAUAAGUUUUAGAAUACGCCAAAUCACUCGGUCCGAAUACAUGCCCAUGUUCCUAUGCUUAGCAUCAUUCCUUUCAACCCAUAGGAACCAAAAAAUAAAUA
rnacentral:lncRNA from 1 species